AGUGAACGCUGGCGGUAGGCCUAACACAUGCAAGUCGAACGGCAGCACAGUAAGAGCUUGCUCUUACGGGUGGCGAGUGGCGGACGGGUGAGGAAUACAUCGGAAUCUACUUUUUCGUGGGGGAUAACGUAGGGAAACUUACGCUAAUACCGCAUACGACCUACGGGUGAAAGCAGGGGAUCUUCGGACCUUGCGCGAUUGAAUGAGCCGAUGUCGGAUUAGCUAGUUGGCGGGGUAAAGGCCCACCAAGGCGACGGUCCGUAGCUGGUCUGAGGGAAUGAUCAGCCACACUGGAACUGAGACACGGUCCAGGCGCCUACGGGAGGCAGCAGUAGGGAAUAUUGAACAAUGGGCGCAAGCGUGAGGAAGCCAUACCGCGUGGGUGAAGAAGGCCUUCGGGUGGUAAAGGCCUUUUGUUGGGAAAGAAAAGCAGCACGUUUAUACCCCGCUGUUCUGUCGGUACCCAAUUAAUGAGCACCGGCUAACUUCGUG
rnacentral:rRNA from 1 species